CCCUGGCAACCCUUUUUUUGUGGCUGUGUCCCACUUUGAGAAACUUGAAGAGAUUAAAGACUUACUAUGGAUGGUUGAUCCACUGAUGCCAGGCUUGCUGAAGCUGACAUGUUGUGGUUGCUGCUGUUGUGAUCCUUUUGGCUUUGUUCUGGUGGUGAAAAUCCUGCUCCUGCAAGACUCUAUCAUCUUUCAUACGGUUUGUGUGAAGAGGAAGCGUUGUAACUGUGAGUGGCCGGCUUGAGGGGAAGUCCUUGGACUAUGGAACUGGCAACCAACCCCUCUCCUGGAAUUGACCCUUAUUGGACUUGGCCCCCGACUACGAUUUAUGGACUGACGAUUUCAAG